rnacentral:rRNA from 1 species
UAGGGAAUCUUCGGCAAUGGGGGCAACCCUGACCGAGCAACGCCGCGUGAGUGAAGAAGAUUUUCGGAUCGUAAAGCUCUGUUGUAAGAGAAGAACGUGUGUGAGAGUGGAAAGUUCACACAGUGACGGUAACUUACCAGAAAGGGACGGCUAACUACGUGCAG